UUCACUUUUUUUUUUCUUUCUAAUUUUCGUUCGUCGUCCCCUCCCCUUCCGGCGCCAUCUCCUGCCCCGUCCUUCGCCACCACCAUUCCCAGCCCCGCUUCCUCACGCGCGUCGGUCGUCCGAGCCCCGCCGUCCGCCCACCUCCACCCCCUCCCUCCCAACGGUAAGCCUGCUCUGCUGCUGGCGCGACGGGCCUUCUUCAGGCAACGCCGCUCUACUUAUGGACAGGCGGAGCUGUCGCCGGUUCCCUCUGCCUCCAAUGACACAGCGUGGCGGCGGCGAGAAGGAGCGCGUACGGAAGCAGCGACGUACAGAAUCGUUCUUGGAUCAAGAAGAUUUCACCCCCCAGGCCAUCUUCACAUCGCCGAGUUGUUUGCAGGUCAUUUUCGUGCUGUUGCUUAAACCAUUGAAGGUUUGACCUCACAGUAGGCCUAGAUGGGGAGGAUUAAGGAGCCCGAGAGCAAUGUAUUUUUAGCAUCAAAAUUCAGAAAUGCAGUAUGUUGUAGGAAUGGAUGUUAUAUUGUAAGACUGUCUUACUGUUGUUCUAGAUUAUUUCAUCUUAUAAAAAAAUGUUUGUA